rnacentral:lncRNA from 1 species
AUUUUCUCCUAGUUGCCUAGUUUGGACAAUGUAUUCUAUGGUUACCAUGUAAUGUAUUGUCCACACAUACGGUUGGCAUCUUGAGGAGGUGAGAUACACAAUAGAAUUGUAGAUUGCUUUGGGUUUACAUGCAACUCAAGUCCCGUUGUGACCAACUGUGAUGAAGAUGCGACUAUAGUCGCCAGUGAGCUUGCCAAAAGAUUGCUGUGACCUGGAAGUUAAAGAUCUCUACAUGAGAGAUCACAUUACAUUGAGGGGUGGGAACACCUAACUCCCCAAACCGUUUCCUCCACUAUGGAGUGACAUAGACAAGAAGAACGCUCCUAAUGAUUCUGUCUCUUCUUCCGGUGGUGGUGGCAAUCAGUGAUAUGAUUGGUUGAUUUGGAAAGCGAGCGUUGGCUUUGUGACCCGCCCCUUCCUUUUCUCUUAGGGAAGAGUUGCCCAGAGGACGUGCCCACUUAGCUCCGCCCCUCCAAGCUGUACGUUGCUGGGACGGAUUCUCCUGUGCGCGGUCGUCCGUUGGGUGCCCUCUGUGGCGUCGUCGGUCAGUCUAAGGCUGAGGAACCUGAAUCUUGAAUUUUCUGAGGACAGCAUCUAGGCUUCAGAGUUCUUACCAGGUAAUGAGAAAAUACAGAAAAAAUCCAAACUGUCCAGAUUAGAAUUUCAGUGUGUGUGUGUGUGUGUGU